rnacentral:rRNA from 1 species
UACAGGGGGGGCAAGCGUUGUUCGGAAUUACUGGGCGUAAAGGGUUCGUAGGUGGCCAACUAAGUCAGACGUGAAAUCCCUCGGCUUAACCGGGGAACUGCGUCUGAUACUGGAUGGCUUGAGUUCGGGAGAGGGAUGCGGAAUUCCAGGUGUAGCGGUGAAAUGCGUAGAUAUCUGGAGGAACACCGGUGGCGAAGGCGGCAUCCUGGACCGACACUGACACUGAGGAGCGAAAGCCAGGGGAGCAAACGGG